AAUACAGCAUCCAAAAUGUACAUAAGUUAAGACAACCAAACAGCAUGAAUUUUCAGACACACCCUCCCCUUAUUUUUUUUUUUCCUUUUUGUGCAGCCACCAGUUGCUAUGCGGUCUCUGGGAAACAAUGACUUUGCCAAAAUCCUCAGGCUUGUCUGUUCUCUUCUGUUUUUGCUUCAGUGUUGUGAUCCAGAGAAGUACUAAAAGCCACAGGGAGAUUAUACGGCUCCUGUGUCCAAUACAGGAGCAUCUCUAACCUUUGUAGUUAAAACUGUACAGCAGAACUGAAAGACUGAAGCAUCACAGUAUCUACCAACUGUGAGCUAUUUUUAUAAUAAUGAUAGUAGUAAUUCAAGUUUUUGUUACUCAUUCCUUGCUGUGAUGUAGCAUGGGCCCAUAACUGCAUUUACUUCACAGAUCUUAAUCCAGCCUCCGUGAGAAGCAAUUUGCUGGGGAUUUCAAAACAUCCUCUGAGAUCAUACUAGAGUUUUAUGCAGAAAACCUCUCAUAAUCCCUCUCAAAACUCUAAUAUGGAGCUAUUUCUGGAUCUUACGCUUCUUUUGGACCAGGCUUGGCUGGAGAGUUUGAACAGUACAUGAAAAACAACUGCAGUGCAAGCUGAAUGUGAUGAGGGAAAGGUUGGGAGCAGCUGCUUACGGAAUCCUUUGGGUGCAGCACAGCAAGGCAGUGAGAUGUUAAAAUGAAGAAGAAAGCAGAAAAAUAUUAAAAACAAACCUUACAUUCUCUUUGGACAGCAGGAGAGGCCACAAACAGAACACAUACUCCAAGUCACUAGGUCACGUUCACAUUCCUGAGAUGAUCCUUACUUUGGAAAGCUUUGAUGCUGCAAUGUUGGCUGUAUUACUUUGUUAAUAAACCUCAAACACCUGUCUGUGUGUUAAACAGCUGCUACAAGACCCAAUAGUGUUUAGGAGUGUGUUUAACCUUUAUUAGCCCAGGCAGUCUCCAUAAAAAUGUACAGUUGAAGACUCCUUGAAAGAAGAGCUCGGAGGAGCAGACUCUCCACUUCUUUAUUAACAGAUACUCUGAUUAAUAUCAAAUAAAUUAAUGUACAAGGUCAAGUAAAAGAGAUAGGAUAGGAUUGAUGCCUAUUUGUAGCUCAUGCCACCCUGGGAGAGAGCACAAAAAGGGCAGCAGUUCGUGUGGUUUAUCCCUUUUUUAGUUUUAAGCGGGGGUUUCGGGGUGCCGGGUUUUGGCAGUGCCGCCCCUUCGGGGAGACUUUUUGGGGCUGGGGAGGGGCUGUGACACCGGCUCUGAGAAACAGGAACAACCGGUGCCGCCUUCACGGGCUUUUCACCUGAAGGAGCACAGCGAGUUUUCCUUUCCUCAUCCUCCUCCCUUUUUUCCUCGGCUCGUCACGUCGGGGUGGCGUCUCUCAUGACCCACAUUCGCGCCCCUUGAGCUCUCCAGGGAGGCAGCAGGAGGAGGAAGAAUGACAGCACACCCGCCCAUGCUGGGGUUUUAGGGGGUGGAAGAGACUCACCCGCCUCCCCGGGAUGCUUCUGGCGGCGGCAGGAGCUGGAGCUGGAGCAUCCACACAUCCUCUUCUCCCGCACAGCCGCGGUUUUCCUCCGGGCAGGGUCCGCGAACGCGGAGCGCCCGCCUGGGGGCCCGCUGUUAGCACUGGGUGUCUUCAAUUCUUAAAGAAAAAACUAAAACGAAACAAAAAUCCCCUUCUCCAAAAGGAAAACUGCUUCAGGAAGGUCAGAUUUAAGUUAACAGCUACAGAACUCAGCCCUAAGGAGGGCACGUCUGGAGGGCUGUGUCCGGUUCUGGGCUCCUCAGGACAAGACAGACAAAGAGCUUCUGGAGAGGGUGCAAAAGAGGGACACACCACUUGGGGUCUGGAGCAUCUCCCUUACAGAGAGACUGUGGGAGCCGGGCCUGUUCAGUCUGGAGAAGACUGAAGGGAAUCUCAUUAAUGCACAUAAAUAUCACAAAGAUGGAUAGACACCCAGAGGAUGGUGCCAGACUCUUUUUCAGAGGUGCCCAGCUACAGGAACAGAAGUAAUGGUCAUAAGCUAAAACACAAGAAGUUCCACCUCAGCAUGAGGAAGAACUUCAUAGUGAGAGUGAGAGAGCACUGGAACAAGGUGCCCAGGGAGGACUCUCCCUCUCUGGAUACAUUCCAGACCCAUCUGGACGUGUCACCUUAGCAGGGGGAAUGGAUCAGAUGAUUUCCAGAGGCCCUUUCCCUACCAAUUCUGUGAACGUUGCAACAGUCUGGGACAAGUUAUUGCGCACAGCCUCAAGUCCAGGCGGGCGCUGCA